UAAAAGAACCGAUCUUAAAAGUGUCACUUUUAAGAUCGGUUCUGAUCUUAAAAGUGUCACUUUUAAGAUCGGUUAUUCUA
rnacentral:miRNA from 1 species